rnacentral:rRNA from 1 species
AUUGAACGCUGGCGGCAGGCCUAACACCUGCAAGUCGAGCGAGCGGCGGACGGGUGAGUAAUGUAUCGGGACUGCCCGUGAGAGGGGGAUAACUACUGGAAACGGUAUCUAAUACCGCAUACUAUCGGAUAACCCAUAUGGGAUUAGCUAGUAGGUGAGGUAAUGGCUCACCUAGUCGACGAUCAGUAGCUGGUUUGAGAGGACGACCAGCCACACUGGGACUGAGACACGGCCCAGACUCCUACGGAGGCAGCAGUGGGGAAUUUUGGACAAUGGGGGAAACCCGGAUCAAGCAAUCCCGCGUGUAUGAUGAAGGCAUUCGGGUUGUAAAGUACUUUUGGCAGAGAAGCGGUAUCUGACGAAUAAGCACCGGCUAACUACGUGCCAGCAGCCGAGGUAAUUC